AUUGAACGCUGGCGGCAGGCCUAACACAUGCAAGUCGAGCGAGCGGCGGACGGGUGAGUAAUGUCUGGGAAACUGCCUGAUGGAGGGGGAUAACUACUGGAAACGGUAGCUAAUACCGCAUACCAUCAGAUGUGCCCAGAUGGGAUUAGCUAGUAGUUGGGGUAAUGGCUCACCUAGGCGACGAUCCCUAGCUGGUCUGAGAGGAUUACCAGCCACACGGGAACUGAGACAGGGUCCCGACUCCGACGGAGGGCAGCGGUGGGUAAUUUUGCACAAUGGGCGCAAGCCUAAUGCAGCCAUGCCGCGUGUGUGAAGAAGGCCUUCGGGUUGUAAAGCACUUUCAGCGGGGAGGCGUUACCCGCAGAAGAAGCACCGGCUAACUCCGUGCCAGCAGCCGCGGUAAUAC
rnacentral:rRNA from 1 species